GACGAACGCUGGCGGCGUGCUUAACACAUGCAAGUCGAGCGGUAAGGCCCUUUCGGGGGUACACGAGCGGCGAACGGGUGAGUAACACGUGGGUGACCUGCCUUUAGCUCUGGGAUAAGCCUGGGAAACUAGGGUCUAAUACCGGAUAUGACUCCAUGAUGCAUGUUGUGGGGUGGAAAGCCUUGUGCGGCUGGAGAUGGGCCCGCGGCCUAUCAGCUUGUUGGUGGGGUGANGGUCUACCAAGGCGACGACGGGUAGCCGGCCUGAGAGGGCGACCGGCCACACUGGGACUGAGACACGGCCCAGACUCCUAC
rnacentral:rRNA from 1 species